UGGGUUUUUUUAUUUCUAUUUUCAGUGGACUGAGCUCCUCUAUGGAUUUCACUCCAGGGAGCCAUGGAAGAGCUGGCCUGUUCUCCGUGGGCUCAUGGAGCAAACUGCAGGAAGACAUUACAAGGACUAACAGAACUCUGAAGUAGAUGACCUGCAGCCACAUUAAUUAUUGAUCAUGUUAGCAGUUGAUGAGAUGUGCUAAAUUGAUCUGUGGAAAGAUAAUGUGAAUUAAAAGCCACUUAAAUAUUUAGUUUUGGGCUCUUUCUAUAUGGCAGGAAUUUGAAUGAAAGGCUACACAGGAGUCAUGACUGGAAUUAGCUUUUCAGUAAAGACAAGCUGUCAGAAUAAAAGGUACUAUCUAAAUGUAAAUCAUUAUUCAUUAGAGGAGGAAUCUCUUGCAGGUAAACAUUUUAAUGGAGGACUGGAAAUCUUUCCACACAAAAUUCUCUAAAGAUGCAGAUGGAUGUUAUUAGAAAGGUUUUUACUUCGAAUGUGCGCGGCUUGUCCACAUGGCUGAGAUUAGUGCUCAAUACUCAUAUAAUGCUUUUCAUCCUCAAAAGGACUUUACAAGCUCCAGCCCUCAAAACACCCCUACAAGAUAAUUUUUUUUUCCAGGAGUAA
rnacentral:lncRNA from 1 species